rnacentral:hammerhead_ribozyme from 1 species
UUACUGACGAGUCCCAAACAGGACGAAACAGCUGUCCAG